rfam:Triticum urartu cultivar G1812 contig1001052, whole genome shotgun sequence.
ACAAUACUUCCUCCGUCCCAAAAUUCUUGUCUUAGAUUUGUCUAAAUACGGAUGUAUCAAGUCACGUUUUAGUAUUAGAUACAUCUCUAUCUAGACGAAUCUAAGACAAGAAUUUUGGGACGGAGGGAGUACUUC